rnacentral:pre_miRNA from 12 species
AACCGCACGGGAUAAUCGAUUAUCCCGUGCGGUUAGGUUAUACGGACCGCACGGGAUAUUCUAUUAUCCCGUGCGAUG